rnacentral:lncRNA from 1 species
GACCGCCCUUUUGGGUUUUCAAUCCACCGGGAUACCCUUUUUUGCCUGAGCCGCCCUUUCGGGUUUUCGACUCACCGGGUGUACUCUUUUUUUUUUAUAUCCCUAAUUUUUGCCCGAACCUCUUUAUUCUUUUUUUUUUGGUUCGUCGGGAUGCCCUUUUUUGCCUGGACUCUUUUUCUUUUGUCCAGCGGGUCAAUUAUGCGAAGUAUUUUUUUAACUGCGUCUGAGUUG